rnacentral:rRNA from 1 species
GAGUUUGAUCCUGGCUCAGGAUGAACGCUGGCGGCGUGCUUAACACAUGCAAGUCGAACGGAAAGGCCCUUGCUUGCAAGGGUGCUUGAGUGGCGAACGGGUGAGUAACACGUAGGUGAUCUGCCUUUCACUUCGGGGAUAAGCUUGGGAAACUGGGUCUAAUACCGGAUAUUCACGGCACCGUGGUUGGUGUGGUGGAAAGCUUUUGCGGUGGGAGAUGAGCUUGCGGCCUAUCAGCUUGUUGGUGGGGUAAUGGCCUACCAAGGCGGCGACGGGUAGCCGGCCUGAGAGGGUGUGCGGCCACAUUGGGACUGAGAUACGGCCCCAGACUCCUACGGGAGGCAGCAGUGGGGAAUUUUGCACAAUGGGCGGAAGCCUGAUGCAGCGACGCCGUGUGGGGGAGUGAAGGCCUUCGGUUGUUAACGUACCUUUCGUUCCUAGGACGAAGGUUAGUCGUUGUACGGUACCGU